rnacentral:rRNA from 3 species
GUAAUGUCUGGGAAACUGCCUGAUGGAGGGGGAUAACUACUGGAAACGGUGGCUAAUACCGCAUAACGUCGCAAGACCAAAGAGGGGGACCUUCGGGCCUCUUGCCAUCAGAUGUGCCCAGAUGGGAUUAGCUUGUUGGUGAGGUAACGGCUCACCAAGGCGACGAUCCCUAGCUGGUCUGAGAGGAUGACCAGCCACACUGGAACUGAGACACGGUCCAGACUCCUACGGGAGGCAGCAGUGGGGAAUAUUGCACAAUGGGCGCAAGCCUGAUGCAGCCAUGCCGCGUGUAUGAAGAAGGCCUUCGGGUUGUAAAGUACUUUCAGCGGGGAGGAAGGUGUUGUGGUUAAUAACCGCAGCAAUUGACGUUACCCGCAGAAGAAGCACCGGCUAACUCCGUGCCAGCAGCCGCGGUAAUACGGAGGGUGCAAGCGUUAAUCGGAAUUACUGGGCGUAAAGCGCACGCAGGCGGUCUGUCAAGUCGGAUGUGAAAUCCCCGGGCUCAACCUGGGAACUGCAUUCGAAACUGGCAGGCUUGAGUCUUGUAGAGGGGGGUAGAAUUCCAGGUGUAGCGGUGAAAUGCGUAGAGAUCUGGAGGAAUACCGGUGGCGAAGGCGGCCCCCUGGACAAAGACUGACGCUCAGGUGCGAAAGCGUGGGGAGCAAACAGGAUUAGAUACCCUGGUAGUCCACGCCGUAAACGAUGUCUACUUGGAGGUUGUGCCCUUGAGGCGUGGCUUCCGGAGCUAACGCGUUAAGUAGACCGCCUGGGGAGUACGGCCGCAAGGUUAAAACUCAAAUGAAUUGACGGGGGCCCGCACAAGCGGUGGAGCAUGUGGUUUAAUUCGAUGCAACGCGAAGAACCUUACCUGGUCUUGACAUCCACGGAAGUUUUCAGAGAUGAGAAUGUGCCUUCGGGAACCGUGAGACAGGUGCUGCAUGGCUGUCGUCAGCUCGUGUUGUGAAAUGUUGGGUUAAGUCCCGCAACGAGCGCAACCCUUAUCCUUUGUUGCCAGCGGUUAGGCCGGGAACUCAAAGGAGACUGCCAGUGAUAAACUGGAGGAAGGUGGGGAUGACGUCAAGUCAUCAUGGCCCUUACGACCAGGGCUACACACGUGCUACAAUGGCGCAUACAAAGAGAAGCGACCUCGCGAGAGCAAGCGGACCUCAUAAAGUGCGUCGUAGUCCGGAUUGGAGUCUGCAACUCGACUCCAUGAAGUCGGAAUCGCUAGUAAUCGUGGAUCAGAAUGCCACGGUGAAUACGUUCCCGGGCCUUGUACACACCGCCCGUCACACCAUGGGAGUGGGUUGCAAAAGAAGUAGGUAGCUUAACCUUCGGGAGGGCGCUUACCACUUUGUGAUUCAUGACUGGGGUGAAGUCGUAACAAGGUAACCGUAGGGGAACCUGC